CAGCCGCCGCGGUAAUACGUAGGGUGCAAGCGUUAAUCGGAAUUACUGGGCGUAAAGCGUGCGCAGGCGGUUUGUUAAGACAGAUGUGAAAUCCCCGGGCUCAACCUGGGAACUGCAUUUGUGACUGGCAAGCUAGAGUCUGGCAGAGGGGGGUGGAAUUCCGCGUGUAGCAGUGAAAUGCGUAGAUAUGCGGAGGAACACCGAUGGCGAAGGCAGCCCCCUGGGCCAACACUGACGCUCAUGCACGAAAGCGUGGGGAGCAAACAGGAUUAGAUACCCCUGUAGUCCCUGUCUCUUAUAU
rnacentral:rRNA from 1 species